rnacentral:snoRNA from 13 species
AGCCAAUGAUGAAUUGCUCUAAAUUCUGACACCUCGUAUGAGAACUGCAUAGUGCAGUCUGAUUAUAUUGCGAAACUGAGGCUU